rnacentral:lncRNA from 1 species
AGUUGAAACACCCAUCAGUAGGUGUUGAUACUCCCUUUUGCUUGCUAUUAGUUUCUUUUUCUUCUUUCUUCUGAAUUUCUUCAGAAAAUUAAGAACUUCAAGCCCCUGGUUUCCAUGUUUCAAUCAUAGGAACUUUAAUCUCCAAUUUCUUGAAGAUCUCCAUGAAGCUCAAAAAUUUAUUUUCCUUCCUAUGAUAUUUCUUUUUAUGAGGAAGGGGUUUUUCACAUGAUCUUUUCUUUUUAUCUCUCUUCCUCUUCUUCUCUCUCCUCUUUUCUCUCAACUUUCCUCUUUUCUCUUUUCUUCUUUUCUUCUUUAUUUUUGAAUAUUUUUUCUUUUUUUCUUUUUGCUCAACCACUACUUUUUCUCUGUCCUCAUCUUUCUCUCCCUCACUCAACCUUUCUGCUUCUUCUUCCUCUAUUUUCUCCGCUUCUAUCUCUAUCUUUUCAUCUAUCUUCUCCUCAGCAACAACCUUUUCUGUUUCUAUCUCUUCAAUCUUUUUCACUUCUUUCUCCACCUUCUCCUCAUCAACAACCUCAUCAAUUUAUGUCUCCAAAUUCCUGAAGGUAACUUCAUAU